rnacentral:snoRNA from 1 species
AAGAAUAUGCUUUCAGGGACCGUUUCUACAGUUCAUUACUAGAGAAGUUUCUCUGAUCCUGCAGAGCACCUGAAGGCAUGAGAGGGGCCGGAGGAUUAUCUCCCGAGCAUGAAUCCUGUUCUAGGUGUUGCUUUUGCAGCUGAUCAACUGCUGGAUUGGUUCUUGUCUCGGGGGCCACACAGGCGGUGC